GAUGAACGCUGGCGGCGUGCUUAACACAUGCAAGUCGAACGAUUGAAGCUGGAGCUUGCUCCGGCCGAUUUAGUGGCGGACGGGUGAGUAACGCGUGGGUAACCUGCCUCAUACAGGGGGAUAGCAGUUGGAAACGACUGGUAAAACCGCAUAAGCGCACGGUAUCGCAUGAUACAGUGUGAAAACACUCCGGUGGUAUGAGAUGGACCCGCGUCUGAUUAGCUAGUUGGUGAGGUAACGGCCCACCAAGGCGACGAUCAGUAGCCGGCCUGAGAGGGUGAACGGCCACAUUGGGACUGAGACACGGCCCAAACUCCUACGGGAGGCAGCAGUGGGGAAUAUUGCACAAUGGGGGAAACCCUGAUGCAGCGACGCCGCGUGAGUGAUGAAGUAUUUCGGUAUGUAAAGCUCUAUCAGCAGGGAAGAUAAUGACGGUACCUGACUAAGAAGCACCGGC
rnacentral:rRNA from 1 species